CGCUUUCCACCGAGGAGGGCGUGCAAUCGUAACUCAUCUUCUUGGAAAGGAGUGCUUCCAUAUCGGUGUCUGCAAAUGGGUAAAGUUGUCAAGGAGGGGCCGUGGGGUGCGAACGCAGGGAAUGCGUUCGAUACAGGUCGUGUUGACCGCUUUACCAAGGUCAAGAUUUACCAAGGAGAUGUAAUAUACGGUUUGGAAAUAACCUUCGUCGUGGAUGGUAAAACCCAACCCCCCAUGCUUAUUGGAAGCAAAAAGCGCGCAUCCCAAGAGAUUACCCUCGACGAGGACGAACACUUCAUUUCCAUCUCGGGAUACUUCAAACCAAUGUUGGGAAACGACAUUUUCAUAACACAACUUACUCUUACCACCGAUGAAAACAGAAACGUAAGUGCUGGCAAAGAGACGGGCAAUCCUUUCUCCCUUGCUUUAGAGGAGGGAGGUCGCAUUGUGGGCUUCUGUGGACUUGUUGGUCAACCGACUGUCGCCGUGGGAGCCAUUGCAGUGCACUGCUCCUUGGCUGAUUCCUAGAUAUGGAUGCACUUGUCCGUAAAGGGCUGCUGCUGCUACACAUAUGCUAUACUAAA